rnacentral:rRNA from 1 species
UACGUAGGGGGCAAGCGUUGUCCGGAAUCAUUGGGCGUAAAGCGCGUGUAGGCGGCCCGGUAAGUCCGCUGUGAAAGUCGGGGGCUCAACCCUCGGAUGCCGGUGGAUACUGUCGGGCUCGAGUGCGGAAGAGGCGAGUGGAAUUCCUGGUGUAGCGGUGAAAUGCGCAGAUAUCAGGAGGAACACCAAUUGCGAAGGCAGCUCGCUGGGACGUUACUGACGCUGAGACGCGAAAGCGUGGGGAGCAAACAGG